UACGAAGGAUGCAAGCGUUAUCCGGAUUUAUUGGGCUUAAAGGGUGCGUAGGCGGACUUAUAAGUCAGUGGUGAAAUCUCGUUGCUUAACAACGAACGUGCCAUUGAUACUGUAGGUCUUGAGUACAGAUGCCGUUGGCGGAAUGUGUCAUGUAGCGGUGAAAUGCAUAGAUAUGACACAGAACACCGAUUGCGAAGGCAGCUGACGAAACUGUAACUGACGCUGAGGCACGAAAGCGUGGGGAUCAAACAGG
rnacentral:rRNA from 1 species